GGGGGUGUAGCUCAGUGUUAGAGCAUUUGCCUUGCAUGCAGGAGGCUAGGGGUUCAAUUCUCAAUAUCA
rnacentral:tRNA from 1 species